GGGAAUAUUGCACAAUGGGCGAAAGCCUGAUGCAGCGACGCCGCGUGCGGGAUGAAGGCCUUCGGGUUGUAAACCGCUUUUGAUUGGGAGCAAGCGAGAGUGAGUGUACCUUUCGAAUAAGCACCGGCUAACUACGUGCCAGCAGCCGCGGUAAUACGUAGGGUGCAAGCGUUAUCCGGAAUUAUUGGGCGUAAAGAGCUCGUAGGCGGUUUGUCGCGUCUGGUGUGAAAGUCCAUCGCUUAACGGUGGAUCUGCGCCGGGUACGGGCAGGCUAGAGUGCGACAGGGGAGACUGGAAUUCCCGGUGUAACGGUGGAAUGUGUAGAUAUCGGGAAGAACACCAAUGGCGAAGGCAGGUCUCUGGGUCGUCACUGACGCUGAGGAGCGAAAGCGUGGGGAGCGAACAGGAUUAGAUACCCUGGU
rnacentral:rRNA from 1 species